rnacentral:rRNA from 1 species
GAUGAACGCUGGCGGCGUGCCUAAUACAUGCAAGUCGAGCGGAAAGACGAGGAGCUUGCUCCUCUGACGUUAGCGGCGGACGGGUGAGUAACACGUGGAUAACCUACCUGUCAGACUGGGAUAACUUCGGGAAACGGGCGAUAAUCCCGGAUAAUAUCUUGAAGCACAGUGUUCGUUGGAGAAAGACGGUGUUGCUGUCUGUUCUCGAUGGAUCCGCGCCGCAUUGGCGAGUUGGUAAGGUAACGGCUUACCAAGGCAAGGAUGCGUAGCCGGCGUGAGAGGGGGGUCGGCCACAUGGGAACGGAGCCGGGGUCAAGGCUCCUACGGUAGGCAGCAGUAUGCAACCUGCCGCAAUGGGCGAAAGCCUGACGGAGCGACCCGGCGCGAGUGAUGACGGCCUUCGGAUCGUAAAGCCCUCCUAUUAGUUGAGAACAAAUGUGUAAUUAACCAUGCACGUCUUGACGGUACCGAAUCAAAAAGCAACGGCUAACUACGUG